rnacentral:rRNA from 1 species
GAUGAGCGCUGGCGGCGUGCCUAAUACAUGCAAGUCGAGCGAAUAGAUUAAGAGCUUGCUCUUAUGAAGUUAGCGGCGGACGGGUGAGUAACACGUGGGUAACCUGCCCAUAAGACUGGGAUAACUCCGGGAAACCGGGGCUAAUACCGGAUAACAUUUUGAACCGCAUGGUUCGAAAUUGAAAGGCGGCUUCGGCUGUCACUUAUGGAUGGACCCGCGUCGCAUUAGCUAGUUGGUGAGGUAACGGCUCACCAAGGCAACGAUGCGUAGCCGACCGGAGAGGGUGAUCGGCCACACUGGGACUGAGACACGGCCCAGACUCCUACGGGAGGCAGCAGUAGGGAAUCUUCCGCAAUGGACGAAAGUCUGACGGAGCAACGCCGCGUGAGUGAUGAAGGCUUUCGGGUCGUAAAACUCUGUUGUUAGGGAAGAACAAGUGCUAGUUGAAUAAGCUGGCACCUUGACGGUACCUAACCAGAAAGCCACGGCUAACUACGUGCCAGCCGCCGCCGUAA